rnacentral:rRNA from 1 species
UACGUAGGUGGCAAGCGUUGUUCGGAAUUAUUGGGCGUAAAGGGUGCGUAGGCGGCGCGGUAAGUCGGGUGUGAAAUCUCGGAGCUUAACUCCGAACUGCAUUCGAUACUGCCGUGCUUGAGGACUGGAGAGGAGACUGGAAUUUACGGUGUAGCGGUGAAAUGCGUAGAUAUCGUAAGGAAGACCAGUGGCGAAGGCGGGUCUCUGGACAGUUCCCUGACGCUGAGGCACGAAGGCCAGGGAGCAAACGGG